rnacentral:rRNA from 1 species
AUUGAACGCUGGCGGCAGGCUUAACACAUGCAAGUCGAGCGGAGAUGAGGUGCUUGCACCUUAUCUUAGCGGCGGACGGGUGAGUAAUGCUUAGGAAUCUGCCUAUUAGUGGGGGACAACAUUCCGAAAGGAAUGCUAAUACCGCAUACGUCCUACGGGAGAAAGCAGGGGAUCUUCGGACCUUGCGCUAAUAGAUGAGCCUAAGUCGGAUUAGCUAGUUGGUGGGGUAAAGGCCUACCAAGGCGACGAUCUGUAGCGGGUCUGAGAGGAUGAUCCGCCACACUGGGACUGGGACAUGGCCCAGACUCCUACGGGAGGCAGCAGUGGGGAAUAUUGGACAAUGGGGGGAACCCUGAUCCAGCCAUGCCGCGUGUGUGAAGAAGGCCUUAUGGUUGUAAAGCACUUUAAGCGAGGAGGAGGCUACUGAGACUAAUACUCUUGGAUAGUGGACGUUACUCGCAGAAUAAGCACCGGCUAACUCUGUGCCAGCCGCCGCGGUAAAAC